rnacentral:lncRNA from 1 species
AAUUAUAAUAUUAAUGCAUAAAAAAGAGAUAAUAAUGGGUUAAUUUCAUACAGCUCCCUGCAAACAUAUCGAGUAACAAAUAUAUUUCAAUAAAAUUUAAGUUUUCAUAUUUAUCUUCUGCCUCUUUGUUUUGUUACCAUUAACGCAUUAUUUAUUUUUUAACAGAGAAUAAGUAAAAUAACAUUUUUGUCAUUGCAAAUAUAUCUCUCCAAAAGCUCAACUGUUAGAAUUAUGAAUUAUGUAGAAAUACUCUUUUAAAAAUUUUCAACGGUUAUCUUCUUCUUUUCUGCUAUAAUAAAUAAUAUAAAAAAUAUAAAAAGGUUAACUUACCUUACGCACUAAUCAGGAUUAAGUAUUUUUUCUAUGGUUAAUCAUAUUUUUCUAACGUAUUCUAAUAACAAGAGUAUAUUUGAAAAUGUUAUGAUUUUUAUAGAAUAACAUAUGAAAAAUUAAACCUCGUAGGAAUAUAUCUAUUAUUUGAUAUGUUUAUAGAAAACUGUAUGCAAUUAACCCAACUAUUAGAAGAGCUAAUUUCUCUUUUUGCAAAAGAAGACUUAAUUAUUUUGUGAAUUUGAAUAUAAAAGAGUAUUUGGUUGUUCGAAAAGUAUGAAAAAUUAUUUUUUGAAAAAAAAGAUUUUAUGCAGU